rnacentral:lncRNA from 1 species
UAACCCAAUCGUGCCCUCCCCCCCUUUUUUUCCCAAUUCCAAAAUCAAGCUUCACCUCCACUGAUCCACCUUAGGUCCUUCACCCAUAACGUAAAUGGAGCUCUAUUUUGAGAAUAAUUUUCUCAAAAUAAACCAUUCACAAUCGUUGUAUUUUGCUUAAUUUUUGCGUCUGAAUCUUUUAAGAAAUCAUUAACAAUGGAUCCCUUGAUUCCCUUCCAUUUUCUGUCUGUUUGUUUCUAGUUAAUCCGGGUAACUUCAUUUUCUGUCUAGCUGUUUGUUUCUGGUUAAUCCGGGUAACUUCAUUUUCUUGUUCUUGUUGUUGUUCUUCUUCUUCCAUUUUCUGUUUGUUUCUGUCUGUAUUUUGCUUAAUGUUUGCUAAUUACAUUGAUCUCUUUUAUUGGAACUUGGUGCGAGUACCAUAUACGAAUAUUUUGCCGAAUUCUUUUUUUAAGUUUCUGUCUGUAUUUUGCUUAAUGUUUGUUUCCGUCUGUUUCUUUUUUUAACAUAGACUUCAAUAAUUACUGGAUUUGGCAACAUGUGGUAGUGUUUUUCUUAUGAUGUUGAUUUGGUAUUUCAUUUCCUAUAUAUAUAAAAUCAUUCAUUAAGUAAAGAAAAUAAUUGAUAGAAAUAUGUAGGAAAUCCUUAUCUAAUAUUAUUGAAAAAGUAACUUAGUUAAUUUCAUAAUAAAUUGAAUAGUUUAAUUUUUAUACUAUUAAAAAAUAAGCAAACAAGAGCUAUUGAUGAUAAUGUUAACUAUUUGCAUUAUAUGUUAACUAUAGCACUAUUUAGUUGUUAGAGACUAUUUGAAAAGUUGUUCCUUUCACACUUUGCAUUAAUUAAUAUACAAAAUGUGUUGGCCAGAAAUUAUAUACAAAAAAAUUGUUCUUAAAUUUUUUUUUAAGUAAACAAACAAUACACACUAUUUUUUUUAGUGAUACACUUAACAACUAGAUUUAUUUUAGAGUUAAUUGGUAUAACUUGUUAAUCCGGGUAACUUCAUUUUCUUCUUCCUCCUCUUCUUCUUCCAUUUUCUGUUUGUUUUUGUCUGUAUUUUGCUUAAUGUUUACUAAUUACAUUGAUCUCUUUUACUAGUAUUUGGUGCGAGUACCAGAUACGAAUAUUUUGCCGAAUUAUUUUUUUAAGUUUCUAUCUGUAUUUUUCUUAAUGUUUUUGUCUAUCUGUUUCUUUUUUUAACAUAGACUUCAAUAGCGACAUUAAGCUAGAUCGUUUUAGAUGAUCUGUUAUGUAUGUUACUUGCAGUUUCUAGUUAUUUUUAAUUGAAAAGAGUUUAGUUGAAGAGUAGGAAGUAGGCAGCACUUAUUUGAUGAGGGGUGUUAAAAUACUUGAGUCAUAUUAUGACAGUAUACUUGUGCAAGCUCCAAUAUAGUGGCUGGAGUUGAUAUUGUCAUAUCACAAUUUUGCAACAUUGGAUGAAGCAAAUAUGUAACGAUAAUUUUCCAAACUUGUUUUUUUUUUGUUUUUGUUUUGUUUUUUUUUUUUUGCGUUAAUAAUGAACCCCAAAUAUAUAUUAUACCAACAACUUAGGACACCAAUGAUUGUGUUUCCACUUAAGAGAGCAUGAGUAUAAGGUGGUUGAUAAAACUUCUGGCUCUAUUGUUUAGAUUGUAGCAAAUUUACAUUGCAUCUUUUACGACAAUUUCUUUGAAAGCUAUGCUAUGUUGGGAUGUGUGAUAAAGAUAUAGUAAAAGUGAGAGAUGGAAGCCUUAAAAUGUUAUGGACUGAUCAAUGAGUUGCCUUUCAUUGUUAACAUUCUUACAUCAAUGAACAGUGGAAAUUAUGCAUUCAUACGGAUUAUAAAUAGGUCAUGCCUUAAAAUGUUUGUUUAUAUGUUUAUAUCUGGAAAUGAAGUUCUCAGAAUUUUGAAAUUGCAUGGGAUUCGAGUUUAAUGAAUUUAUUAUAAUGUUUACUGAGAUCACAAGCUUAUUUUCUUCAUUUAAUCUCAUCUUUUUUUGUUUUUUCUUUAUUUUAUUGCAGAAACUAGCGACAUUGAAA